AAGCAGGCAAAAACAAAAUACAACUGCGAUAAUAUUCUCUUGCCAAUCCCAUAUAGUGUAAGUCAUACUCAGUAACUUCACUAAAUAUAACUGUCCUUGAGUGUUUGAGAGGAAAAAAUGUAGCUUUUUUGCCAGAAUUUCAGAAUAUUCAUAACAAUUCUUAAAAAGCACUCCAUGGGCUUUAAACAAGCUAACAUAUUCCUCUUCUUUCUACAUCAAUUUUCACAUACAAAAUUAAUGAGUUGCAAGAAGAUCAAUAAAAACAUGACUUAAAGAAUUAUACACUGCAAUUCUAAAUAUGGGAAAAGAUCAGAAACUAAAGAUCCAUCGAAACCAUAAUACACAAAGCAAAAUUCUGCAACAGUUUAAUCAUCCAUAGACAUGGAGUUACGGUGAGUAAAAUUCUUUUAAGCUAUUUACUUAGAAACCAACUGUUUGAUCCGCCAAAGAAUUG
rnacentral:misc_RNA from 1 species